rnacentral:rRNA from 2 species
AACUUUCAACAACGGAUCUCUUGGUUCUGGCAUCGAUGAAGAACGCAGCGAAAUGCGAUAAGUAAUGUGAAUUGCAGAAUUCAGUGAAUCAUCGAAUCUUUGAACGCACAUUGCGCCCCUUGGUAUUCCGGGGGGCAUGCCUGUUCGAGCGUCAUUACA